rnacentral:rRNA from 1 species
UACAGAGGGUGCGAGCGUUAAUCGGAAUUACUGGGCGUAAAGCGUGCGUAGACGGUUAUUUAAGUCGGGUGUGAAAGCCCCGGGCUCAACCUGGGAAUUGCAUUCGAGACUGAAUAGCUAGGGUACGGUAGAGGGAAGUGGAAUUUCCGGUGUAGCGGUGAAAAUGCGUAGAUAUCUGGAGGAACACCGGUGGCGAAGGCGGGUCUCUGGGCCGAUACUGACGCUGAGGAGCGAAAGCGUGGGGAGCGAAC